CAGGGGUAGUGAAGCGGUCAAACACGACAGACUGUAAAUCUGUUGGCUUAUGCCUUCGCAGGUUCGAAUCCUGCCCCCU
rnacentral:tRNA from 1 species